GACACAGGUGGGUGAGGAGAGUAUCCUAAGGCCAGCGAGAGAACUGUUGUUAAGGAACUCGGCAAAAUGACCCCGUAACUUAGGGAUAAGGGGUGCCACCAUUAGGUGGCCGCAGAGAAUAGGCCCAAGCGACUGUUUACCAAAAACAUAGGUUUCUGCUAAGUCGCAAGACGAUGUAUAGGAGCUGACGCCUGCCCGGUGCUGG
rnacentral:rRNA from 1 species